GAUACCAGAAUCAAAGUUCAAGAGAGAAUUUUUUGCUACUUUCACCACCCUAUUUUUCGCUUGGCUGGUUGGACCUUGCCAGGUGAAGGAAUCUGAGAUAGAAGGAAAAAUGGAGAAGAAUGUAGUUCACAUCCCCAAAUGCAGGCUCUUGGAGGAGAGCAAAUGUGUAGGGAUGUGCGUAAACCUGUGUAAGAUGCCAUCGCAGAAGUUUAUUAAGGAUUCAUUUGGAACUCCUAUCUAUAUGAAACCCGAUUUUGAUGACAUGAGUUGCGAAAUGUUCUACGGACAGGAUCCUCCCGCAGCAGUAGAUGAUCCA